CGGGACACGUGGUAUCCUGUCUGAAUAUGGGGGGACCAUCCUCCAAGGCUAAAUACUCCUGACUGACCGAUAGUGAACCAGUACCGUGAGGGAAAGGCGAAAAGAACCCCGGCGAGGGGAGUGAAAAAGAACCUGAAACCGUGUACGUACAAGCAGUGGGAGCACGCUUAGGCGUGUGACUGCGUACCUUUUGUAUAAUGGGUCAGCGACUUAUAUUCUGUAGCAAGGUUAACCGAAUAGGGGAGCCGAAGGGAAACCGAGUCUUAACUGGGCGUUAAGUUGCAGGGUAUAGACCCGAAACCCGGUGAUCUAGCCAUGGGCAGGUUGAAGGUUGGGUAACACUAACUGGAGGACCGAACCGACUAAUGUUGAAAAAUUAGCGGAUGACUUGUGGCUGGGGGUGAAAGGCCAAUCAAACCGGGAGAUAGCUGGUUCUCCCCGAAAGCUAUUUAGGUAGCGCCUCGUGAAUUCAUCUCCGGGGGUAGAGCACUGUUUCGGCAAGGGGGUCAUCCCGACUUACCAACCCGAUGCAAACUGCGAAUACCGGAGAAUGUUAUCACGGGAGACACACGGCGGGUGCUAACGUCCGUCGUGAAGAGGGAAACAACCCAGACCGCCAGCUAAGGUCCCAAAGUCAUGGUUAAGUGGGAAACGAUGUGGGAAGGCCCAGACAGCCAGGAUGUUGGCUUAGAAGCAGCCAUCAUUUAAAGAAAGCGUAAUAGCUCACUGGUCGAGUCGGCCUGCGCGGAAGAUGUAACGGGGCUAAACCAUGCACCGAAGCUGCGGCAGCGACGCUGAUGCGUUGUUGGGUAGGGGAGCGUUCUGUAAGCCUGUGAAGGUGUGCUGUGAGGCAUGCUGGAGGUAUCAGAAGUGCGAAUGCUGACAUAAGUAACGAUAAAGCGGGUGAAAAGCCCGCUCGCCGGAAGACCAAGGGUUCCUG
rnacentral:rRNA from 1 species